rnacentral:tRNA from 1 species
GGGGGUGUAGCUCAAGGGCAGAGCAUUUGACUGCAGAUCAAGAGGUCCCCAGUUCAAAUCUCACGUGCCUCCU